rnacentral:rRNA from 1 species
GCAGCGACGCCGCGUGGGGGAUGACGGCCUUCGGGUUGUAAACCUCUUUUACCACCGACGCAGGCCCGGGUUUCUGCCCGGGUUGACGGUAGGUGGGGAAUAAGGACCGGCCAACUACGUGCCAGCAGCCGCGGUAAUACGUAGGGUCCGAGCGUUGUCCGGAAUUAUUGGGCGUAAAGAGCUCGUAGGUGGUGUGUCGCGUCUGCU